AUGAACGCUGGCGGCGUGCCUAAUACAUGCAAGUCGAGCGAACAGACGAGGAGCUUGCUCCUCUGACGUUAGCGGCGGACGGGUGAGUAACACGUGGAUAACCUACCUAUAAGCCUGGGAUAACUUCGGGAAACCGGAGCUAAUACCGGAUAAUAUAUUGAACCGCAUGGUUCAAUAGUGAAAGACGGUUUUGCUGUCACUUAUAGAUGGAUCCGCGCCGCAUUAGCUAGUUGGUAAGGUAACGGCUUACCAAGGCGACGAUGCGUAGCCGACCUGAGAGGGUGAUCGGCCACACUGGAACUGAGACACGGUCCAGACUCCUACGGGAGGCAGCAGUAGGGAAUCUUCCGCAAUGGGCGAAAGCCUGACGGAGCAACGCCGCGUGAGUGAUGAAGGUCUUCGGAUCGUAAAACUCUGUUAUUAGGGAAGAACAAAUGUGUAAGUAACUAUGCACGUCUUGACGGUACCUAAUCAGAAAGCCACGGCUAACUACGUG
rnacentral:rRNA from 1 species